UGCAGUCGAGCGGUAAGGCCUUUCGGGGUACACGAGCGGCGAACGGGUGAGUAACACGUGGGUGAUCUGCCCUGCACUUCGGGAUAAGCCUGGGAAACUGGGUCUAAUACCGGAUAUGACCUCCUAUCGCAUGGUGGGUGGUGGAAAGAUUUAUCGGUGCAGGAUGGGCCCGCGGCCUAUCAGCUUGUUGGUGGGGUAAUGGCCUACCAAGGCGACGACGGGUAGCCGACCUGAGAGGGUGACCGGCCACACUGGGACUGAGACACGGCCCAGACUCCUACGGGAGGCAGCAGUGGGGAAUAUUGCACAAUGGGCGAAAGCCUGAUGCAGCGACGCCGCGUGAGGGAUGACGGCCUUCGGGUUGUAAACCUCUUUCAGCAGGGACGAAGCGCAAGUGACGGUACCUGCAGAAGAAGCACCGGCUAACUACGUGCCAGCAGCCGCGGUAAUACGUAGGGUGCAAGCGUUGUCCGGAAUUACUGGGCGUAAAGAGUUCGUAGGCGGUUUGUCGCGUCGUUUGUGAAAACCAGCAGCUCAACUGCUGGCUUGCAGGCGAUACGGGCAGACUUGAGUACUGCAGGGGAGACUGGAAUUCCUGGUGUAGCGGUGAAAUGCGCAGAUAUCAGGAGGAACACCGGUGGCGAAGGCGGGUCUCUGGGCAGUAACUGACGCUGAGGAACGAAAGCGUGGGUAGCGAACAGGAUUAGAUACCCUGGUAGUCCACGCCGUAAACGGUGGGCGCUAGGUGUGGGUUCCUUCCACGGAAUCCGUGCCGUAGCUAAC
rnacentral:rRNA from 1 species